GUUCUUGUAGUUGAGUAACAACGGUGGUUUUUCAAAUCAUUGGUCUUGGUUAGAUCCCAAGUAAGAAUG
rnacentral:tRNA from 1 species